CCUACGGGAGGCAGCAGUGGGGAAUAUUGCACAAUGGGCGCAAGCCUGAUGCAGCCAUGCCGCGUGUGUGAAGAAGGCCUUCGGGUUGUAAAGCACUUUCAGCGGGGAGGAAGGCGUUAAGGUUAAUAACCUUGGCGAUUGACGUUACCCGCAGAAGAAGCACCGGCUAACUCCGUGCCAGCAGCCGCGGUAAUACGGAGGGUGCAAGCGUUAAUCGGAAUUACUGGGCGUAAAGCGCACGCAGGCGGUCUGUCAAGUCGGAUGUGAAAUCCCCGGGCUCAACCUGGGAACUGCAUUCGAAACUGGCAGGCUAGAGUCUUGUAGAGGGGGGUAGAAUUCCAGGUGUAGCGGUGAAACGCGUAGAGAUCUGGAGGAAUACCGGUGGCGAAGGCGGCCCCCUGGACAAAGACUGACGCUCAGGUGCGAAAGCGUGGGGAGCAAACAGGAUUAGAUACCCGGGUAGUC
rnacentral:rRNA from 1 species